GGAGGUAUGCCAGAGAGGCUUAUUGGGACGAUGUGACAGGUCGUUAACGUUUAGUAGUAAAUGUUCGUAGGUUCAAAUCCUACUACCUCCG
rnacentral:tRNA from 1 species